GACGAACGCUGGCGGCGUGCUUAACACAUGCAAGUCGAACGGAAAGGCCCUGCUAUUGUGGGGUGCUCGAGUGGCGAACGCGUGAGUAACACGUGAGUAACCUGCCCUUGACUUUGGGAUAACUUCAGGAAACUGGGGCUAAUACCGGAUAGGAGCUCCUGCUGCAUGGUGGGGGGUGGAAAGUUUCGGCGGUUGGGGAUGGACUCGCGGCUUAUCAGCUUGUUGGUGGGGUAGUGGCUUACCAAGGCUUUGACGGGUAGCCGGCCUGAGAGGGUGACCGGCCACAUUGGGACUGAGAUACGGCCCAGACUCCUACGGGAGGCAGCAGUGGGGAAUAUUGCACAAUGGGCGGAAGCCUGAUGCAGCAACGCCGCGUGCGGGAUGACGGCCUUCGGGUUGUAAACCGCUUUCGCCUGUGACGAAGCGUGAGUGACGGUAAUGGGUAAAGAAGCACCGGCUAACUACGUG
rnacentral:rRNA from 1 species